GACAGAGGGUGCAAACGUUGCUCGGAAUUACUGGGCGUAAAGGGCGUGUAGGCGGGAAGGCAAGUCGGGCGUGAAAUCCCUAGGCUCAACCUAGGAACUGCACUCGAAACUGCCUUUCUUGAGUGUCGGAGAGGAAAGCGGAAUUCCUGGUGUAGAGGUGAAAUUCGUAGAUAUCAGGAGGAACACCAGUGGCGAAGGCGGCUUGCUGGGCUUGGUCUGACGCUGAGGCGCGAAAGCGUGGGGAGCAAACAGG
rnacentral:rRNA from 1 species